rnacentral:lncRNA from 1 species
GUCAGGUGCUGUGCUGCUUUGUUUUUUACUGGCGAAAAGCGCCACCUGCUGGCAAAGAAUGAAUUAGCAUUUUUCAUUCUUUGGUCUUUGUUUAGACCAAAACGCCCCUUAUUUUAAUGCAGGAAUCAUGCAGUUAUAAAUGUGAACCAGUGGAUCGAUAAGAAGAUAAUUAAUUAUUAAACUCUAAAGAUAUAGCCUAUUCUAAUAUAUAUUUCUAUGUUACUAAAUGAAUUUAAUUGUUUAAUAAUAAUUGUUUAAAUUAAUAUAAUAAAUGAAUUAGCGCUGUCAUCGUUAAUCCGUUAAAGCAUGCGAUUAAUUUUACAAUCCUUAACGUGUUAAAAUAAUUAUUAUUAACGCAAUAAAUGACAAAAUUACUGAAGCACGUUUUUUAUUCUAACCCUUUAACCAAUUUUGCUUCUCUGCUUGCAAUCAGAUCAUUUUAAGCUGCUAACUCCGGAAAUUUUCAGUCCAAUGAUCCAGCGCUGUCAUCGUUAAUCCGUUAAAGCAUGCGUAUUAAUUUUACAAUCCUUAACGUGUUAAAAUAAUUAUUAUUAACGCAGUAAAUGCAAAAUUACUGAAGCACGUUUUUUAUUCUAACCCUUUAACCCAAUUUUGCUUCUCUGCUUGCAAUCAGAUCAUUUUAAGCUGCUAAACUCCGGGAAAUUUUCAGUCCAAUGAUCCAGUAAGCGAAUGUAUUCAAACAAUCCAUCCAAAACAGAGUUAAUAUAAAGGAUGAGAGAGAGAUUGCAGAGAGAACAGAGACUCGCAUUGCGUUUUAAGUGAAUUAUUCAUUCCAGUGUGUUUGGCUUUAAAACACGUGCUCUGUCAUAUUCUGUGAUUAUCUCUGAAGAGCCAAUCUCCCUCAAAAGUCGCGCUGUUUGAAGUACAGACUGAACAGAUUGUCAACAUCCCACCACUGUAUGGGCAGAUGAGACUCAAACUAUGUUUUCUCGACUGGAUAACCAGUCUCGCUAGUAAUUCUUUGACUAAUGAAGACUGCAAUCAAGGUAAAGGCGAUUGCGGUGGCGUACAGAAGUCGUACAGUACAGGCAGGGCCAAGAGCCAUGGGAAUGGAGCGAGGCCGGUGGAGUUAAUGAUGAUGAGCGACACCUGCACCACUCACCAGUCUCGAGUCCCAUGGAGGAGCUCCGGAAGGAUAAAAGGAGGGGUGACGACAGUGCAAGAUGAAAGAGGACCAGGCCUUGACUAUUUUAUGUUGGUUUUGGUUUUGUUUGUGCGUGGCAUUCUAUUUUCAGUUUUUUGUUUAUUUUAUUAUUAAAGUUAUGUUUAAAUGUUCGCCGGUCCCCACCUCCUUCUUCCUGGUCUACUAGCUUUGUUACAGUCAUAGUUAAUGGUUUGAUAGUUGUGAGAAUUGGCCCUUAAAAUAAAGUGUGGCCAUUCAGGUUAUCAAAUGUUACAAUUUGCUAAUUGUGGGUUGAAGCUUGUAACAUUUUAAAAUUUGUCUGAUGAUUCCAUAAAGCCCUGAAAAACACAUUAGCAUUAAAUAUAUAUUUUAUUUACAUUCAAAUAAGAAUUUGAAAAAUAUACAUAAAGGUUUUA